rnacentral:rRNA from 1 species
GAUGAACGCUGACAGAAUGCUUAACACAUGCAAGUCAACUUGAACUUCGGUUUGGGUGGCGGACGGGUGAGUAACGCGUAAAGAACUUGCCUCACAGAUAGGGACAACAUUUGGAAACGAAUGCUAAUACCUGAUAUUAUGAUUUUAGGGCAUCCUAGGAUUAUGAAAGCUAUAUGCACUGUGAGAGAGCUUUGCGUCCCAUUAGCUAGUUGGAGAGGUAACGGCUCACCAAGGCGAUGAUGGGUAGCCGGCCUGAGAGGGUGAUCGGCCACAAGGGGACUGAGACACGGCCCUUACUCCUACGGGAGGCAGCAGUGGGGAAUAUUGGACAAUGGACCAAGAGUCUGAUCCAGCAAUUCUGUGUGCACGAUGAAGUUUUUCGGAAUGUAAAGUGCUUUCAGUUGGGAAGAAAAAAAUGACGGUACCAACAGAAGAAGUGACGGCUAAAUACGUGCCAGCAGCCGCGGUAAUACGUAUGUCACAAGCGUUAUCCGGAUUUAUUGGGCGUAAAGCGCGUCUAGGUGGUUAUGUAAGUCUGAUGUGAAAAUGCAGGGCUCAACUCUGUAUUGCGUUGGAAACUGUGUAACUAGAGUACUGGAGAGGUAAGCGGAACUACAAGUGUAGAGGUGAAAUUCGUAGAUAUUUGUAGGAAUGCCGAUGGGGAAGCCAGCUUACUGGACAGAUACUGACGCUGAAGCGCGAAAGCGUGGGUAGCAAACAGG